GAAAGAUGGGAAGGUUGUCCAAGCUGAAAGGAAAGAUGGGAAGGUUGUCCAAGCUGAAAGGAAAGAUGGGAAGGUUGUCCAAGCUGAAAGGAAAGAUGGGAAGGUUGUCCAAGCUGAAAGGAAAGAUGGGAAGGUUGUCCAAGCUGAAAGGAAAGAUGGGAAGGUUGUCCAAGCUGAAAGGAAAGAUGGGAAGGUUGUCCAAGCUGAAAGGAAAGAUGGGAAGGUUGUCCAAGCUGAAAGGAAAGAUGGGAAGGUUGUCCAAACUGAAAGGGAAGAUGUGAAUGUAGGUGGGGAGUGUGUGAUGAGCAGUAACCAAAGGCAGGAGGAGAAAGAAAGGGAUGUUUCUGGACAGUUCCCCGCUGAACUGGUACCGACCUUCUGAAGAAAGUUAACGCGAACUGAGGAAGAGGAGGGUGUGUCUCUUGGACAGAGGCCACCGCCAAAGAGGGAAAGGUCAGACACAAGCAAAGUGUUGGAGAGUAGGCUGGACUACACAGGGGAACUGGAACCUCCUGACCCGUUGACCUGAUUGCCUCAGCUCAAACAUCUCAUCAGACAGAUGGUCAGAGACCUGGGCACCGUGCAUCAGAUGUCCCUCUGCUCCUCCAACACAUGAGUGCCCCACUGAGUUCAUCACUUCACCACAGAGACCUGGCUGGAGCAGGGCGUAGCAAGCAACACUACAGUACAAAUGAUGGGUAGGGGAGUAACACAAACUGUCAUUAAUCAGUUAUUAUACCAGCAAAACUAUUGUAAUCAGAUUACAGAUCCUUUUGAAAAACUACAUUACUUCUUGGAUUACUUUUAAUAUCAGAAAAUAAAUACAUUAUGACACCU